AUUGAACGCUGGCGGCAUGCUUUACACAUGCAAGUCGAACGAGUGGCGGACGGGUGAGUAAUGUCUGGGAAACUGCCUGAUGGAGGGGGAUAACUACUGGAAACGGUAGCUAAUACCGCAUACCAUCGGAUGUGCCCAGAUGGGAUUAGCUAGUAGGUGGGGUAAAGGCUCACCUAGGCGACGAUCCCUAGCUGGUCUGAGAGGAUGACCAGCCACACUGGAACUGAGACACGGUCCAGACUCCUACGGGAGGCAGCAGUGGGGAAUAUUGCACAAUGGGCGCAAGCCUGAUGCAGCCAUGCCGCGUGUAUGAAGAAGGCCUUCGGGUUGUAAAGUACUUUCAGCGGGGAGGCGGUACCUGAAGAAUAAGCACCGGCUAACUACGUGCCAGCAGCCGCGGUAAUUC
rnacentral:rRNA from 1 species